rnacentral:rRNA from 1 species
UAGGGAAUCUUCCGCAAUGGACGCAAGUCUGACGGAGCAACGCCGCGUGAGUGAAGAAGGUUUUCGGAUCGUAAAGCUCUGUUGUUAAGGAAGAACGAGUGUGAGAAUGGAAAGUUCAUACUGUGACGGUACUUAACCAGAAAGGGACGGCUAACUACGUGCCAGCAGCCGCGGUAAUACGUAGGUUCCGAGCGUUGUCCGGAUUUAUUGGGCGUAAAGCGAGCGCAGGCGGUUAGAUAAGUCUGAAGUUAAAGGCAGUGGCUCAACCAUUGUAGGCUUUGGAAACUGUUUAACUUGAGUGCAGAAGGGGAGAGUGGAAUUCCAGGUGUAGCGGUGAAAUGCGUAGAUAUAUGGAGGAACACCGGUGGCGAAAGCGGCUCUCUGGUCUGUAACUGACGAUGAGGCUCGAAAGGGUGGGGAGCGAACAGG